rnacentral:rRNA from 1 species
UGCCCCUACGGGGGGCAGCAGUGAGGAAUAUUGGUCAAUGGGCGAGAGCCUGAACCAGCCAAGUCGCGUGAGGGAAGACGGUCCUACGGGUUGUAAACCUCUUUUGUCAGGGAGCAAGAACGGAUACGUGUAUCCGAGCGAGAGUACCUGAAGAAAAAGCAUCGGCUAACUCCGUGCCAGCAGCCGCGGUAAUACAUAGGGAGCAAGCGUUAUCCGGAUUUAUUGGGUGUAAAGGGUGCGUAGACGGGAAAUUAAGUUAGUUGUGAAAUCCCUCGGCUUAACUGAGGAACUGCAACUAAAACUGA